UGUCUCUCCCUCAAGGGCUCC
rnacentral:miRNA from 1 species